rnacentral:misc_RNA from 1 species
AAGUCGUAACAAGGUUUCCGUAGGUGAACCUGCGGAAGGAUCAUUAAUGAAACUUCAAGUCGGCUGUUCUGUGCUGGUGGCAACACAUGUGCACGUUCAGUCGCAAUCCACACACCUGUGCACUUUGACUCUGAGCACCGCCUGUAACAUGGCAGAAGGUUUGAGAUGAAGGUCUUAACCUGGUACUCGAGUAGUUUACACACUCUGUAUGUAAUAGAAUGUAACUGUACAAUGUACAACCAUAAACAACUUUCAACAACGGAUCUCUUGGCUCUC